rnacentral:misc_RNA from 1 species
GAUGAAGAACGCAGCGAAAUGUGAUAAGUAGUGUGAAUUGCAGAAUUCAGUGAAUCAUCGAAUCUUUGAACGCACAUUGCGCCCUUUGGUAUUCCAAAGGGCAUGCCUGUUCGAGCGUCAUUUGUACCCUCAAGCUUUGCUUGGUGUUGGGCGUCUUGUCUCUAGCUUUGCUGGAGACUCGCCUUAAAGUAAUUGGCAGCCGGCCUACUGGUUUCGGAGCGCAGCACAAGUCGCACUCUCUAUCAGCAAAGGUCUAGCAUCCAUUAAGCCUUUUUUUCAACUUUUGACCUCGGAUCAGGUAGGGAUACCCGCUGAACUUAAGCAUAUCAUAAGCGGAGGA